rnacentral:lncRNA from 1 species
UGUCCACUCCCGGUGUCCACUCGGCCGCCAUGGCGUGGCUGGAGCGUGUCCAAGCGGGCGGCCGUGGCCUGGAGCGCCGGCUGGACUUGGUGUCGGCCGAGGCGCUGCUGGCCGGGCUGCGGGCAGCCGGAGCUGUGACCGAGCCCGAGGUGGCCGCGCUCGGACGGCCGGGCAGCUCGGGCUGGGUGCGGCGGCUGUGCGCUUUGGCCGUGGCCAAAGGAGACCAGACGUGCCGUGUCCUGCUGACCGUCCUGGAGGGGCUGGAGGGGCCGCCCCGGCCGGGGCCCUUCGAUUUUUACGACCCCCAGCGUGACGCAGCGCCCACACACCGCUCGGACUGUCCUUGCUGCCAGCCAGAGCCCCAGGGGGCGGGCGAGGAGGAGGAGGAGGGAGAGCCCCGAAAUGGGGAGGAAGGCCCCAAGGAAGAGGAGGGAGAGGCCCAAAACGGGGAGGAAGGUCCCGGGGAUGAUAAAGGUGGAGGAGAUGAAGCGCCCGAGGGUGAAGGUGAUGAAGGCCCUGAGGAAGAUGAAGGCCCCAAGGAUAAUGAAGGUGGAGGGGAAGAAGGCACCGAGGAUGACGAAGGUGGAGGGGUUGAAGGUCCUGAGGAUGAUGAAGAUGGAGGUGAUGAAGACCUUGAGGAAGAUGAAGGUGGGGGUGAUGAAGGCCCCGAGGAGGAUGAAGGUGGAGUGAUGAUGAUGAAGAUGGCCUCCAUGAUGAUGAUGAUGACAACAAAUUUUGGGCCAAAACAAGCCCAAUCCAGAUCCUCAGUCCACCCAACGCCCCCCCUCCCUAAGCCUUUUUCCCUCCCCUCCUCCCCUCCCCCCAUCCCCAAUAAAGCCCCACCCCCAGCACAGCUGCAGCCUCAGUGGGGGCGGGGCCUUGUUAAUUAAUGAAGCCCUGCUCAGUGGGGGAGGGGCGGGGCCAUCCCAAUGGCCGAGGGCCUGAAUGGUCAGCAGUCAGUGGCCAGAAUGGGGGUGUGGCCUUGGCCCUCACAAUGACCAACGGCCGCUUUUGGUUCUCUGUGGUUUCCACGACCAAACCCCAACUUUUGGGGUCCUCCUUGACCCCAAUGACCAAACCCCAACUUGGGAAGGUUCUCCGUGAUUUUAAUGACCAAACCCAACUUUUGGGAACCUCAACAAAAACGUCCAAAUUUAUAAGGUUCUCCAUGACUUUGAUGACCAAAACCCAACUUUGGGGAUUUAUCUGGAAAGCCUCCACCAAAAAAGUCUAAAUGUGGAACCUUCUCCUUGGUUUCUAUGACUCAAAACCUGACUUUGGAAGGUUCUUCAUGACCUUGAUGACCAAACCCCAAAUUUGGAGGUUUCAACUGGAGAGCCUCCACCAAAAAAAUCCAACUUUGGAAGGUUCUCCUUGGUUCUGAUGACCGAACUCCAACUUUGGAAGGUUCUCCAUGACCUUUAUGACCAAAACCCAACUUUUGAUGUUUCAACUGGAAAACCUCACCAUAAAAGUCCAACUUUUGGCUCCUCCUCAGUUUCCACAACCAAAACCCAGCCCUUGAAAUCUUUCCAUGAUUUUAAUGACCAAGCCCCAGCUUUGGGGAUUCAACUGGAAAACCUCCACCAAAAAAGUCCAACUUUGGAAGGUCCUCCUGGCCUUCUGUGACCAAAAACCCAACUUUUGGGGCUCUGCACAGCCCUGAUGACUGCUGUGCACCUCCCAGGGGUUCUCCUUACCCCCAAUGGCUGCCCCCAAGCCCCCCUAGAUGCGGAAGCUCUCGGCCUUGCCGUCGAUGUGCCGCAGCCUCAGGUAGACGUCGGUGCCGACGCCCUGCAGCGACUGCAGCACCAGGCACCCCGCCAGGUACUCGGCAUAGGUGCGUGAUGUCAGAGCCCGAAGCCAAACCUGUGGGGGCACCCAGUGUUC